rnacentral:rRNA from 1 species
UACGAAGGGGGCUAGCGUUGUUCGGAAUCACUGGGCGUAAAGCGCACGUAGGCGGAUUUUUAAGUCAGGGGUGAAAUCCCGAGGCUCAACCUCGGAACUGCCUUCGAUACUGGCGAUCUUUGAGUCCGGGAGAGGUGAGUGGAACUCCGAGUGUAGAGGUGAAAUUCGUAGAUAUUCGGAAGAACACCAGUGGCGAAGGCGGCUCACUGGCCCGGUACUGACGCUCAGGUGCGAAAGCGUGGGGAGCAAACAGG